rnacentral:sRNA from 1 species
AUAAUCGAGAGAGCAGAGGGAAAAUCUGUUCUCCUACGCGGUCAAAGUCUUGGGAGGAUGCGAUCUAGGCGCGGUUACUCGCUGCCGCCGGAAUACGGAAACGGAUCGGACGCGUUCAAUUUGCAAGGCCUCCAGCCUUGCAUUUUUUU